GGGGUUUCCACUUUUGCUUCCUCCUCAUUUUACUCUUGCCACUGCCACAUGAGAAGUGCCUUUCACCUCCUGCCAUGAUUCUGAGGCCUCUCCAGCCAUGUGGAACUAAGUGCCUUUCGCCUCCCACCAUGAUUCUGAGGCCUCCUCAGCCAUGCGGAACUGGAGGAAAGAAACGGGUGACUAAAUACAGCACCUUCAACUGAAACAUUAAGGUACUCUCAUUGGAAGUAAUCAAGGAAACAACUCGACCCACGGACCCACGGAGACCAGGGCAAAUCAAGGCAGGAAGACAGCCCACUUGGGAAAGACAUGGAGUCAAGGGAAGCUCCCCUUCCCAGAGAAGUG